CGCAAGCCUAGAUCCAGCAACGCCGCGUGGAGGAUGAAGGUCUUCGGAUCGUAAACUCCUGUCAGGUGGGACGAAGGCUGCGGGGUGAAUAAUCUUGCAGUUUGACGGUACCACCAGAGGAAGCCCCGGCUAACUCCGCGCCAGCAGCCGCGGUAAUACGGAGGGGGCGAGCGUUAUUCGGAAUUAUUGGGCGUAAAGGGCGCGUAGGCGGCUUGACAAGUCAAAGGUGAAAUCCCUCGGCUCAACUGAGGAACUGCCUUUGAAACUGUCUGGCUUGAGGCCGGGAGAGGGUAGCGGAAUUCCCAGUGUAGGGGUGAGAUGCGUAGAUACUGGGAGGAACACCGGUGGCGAAGGCGGCUACCUGGACCGGUUCUGACGCUGAGGCGCGAAAGCGUGGGUAGCAAACAGGAUUAGAUACCCCGGUGGUCCUAGCUGUAAACGGUGGAUACUAGGUGUGGGGGGUAUUCGACCCCUCCCGUGCCGUAGUCAACACAUUAAGUAUCCCGCCUGGGAAGUACGGCCGCAAGGUUG
rnacentral:rRNA from 1 species